rnacentral:siRNA from 1 species
UGCAGUCGAGCGGUGUGAUGGA